rnacentral:rRNA from 1 species
GACGAACGCUGGCGGCGUGCUUAACACAUGCAAGUCGAACGGAAAGGCCCUGCUUUUGUGGGGUGCUCGAGUGGCGAACGGGUGAGUAACACGUGAGUAACCUGCCCUUGACUUUGGGAUAACUUCAGGAAACUGGGGCUAAUACCGGAUAGGAGCUCCUGCUGCAUGGUGGGGGUUGGAAAGUUUCGGCGGUUGGGGAUGGACUCGCGGCUUAUCAGCUUGUUGGUGGGGUAGUGGCUUACCAAGGCUUUGACGGGUAGCCGGCCUGAGAGGGUGACCGGCCACAUUGGGACUGAGAUACGGCCCAGACUCCUACGGGAGGCAGCAGUGGGGUAUAUUGCACAAUGGGCUGAAGCCUGAUGCAGCAACGCCGCGUGCGGGAUGACGGCCUUCGGGUUGUAAACCGCUUUCGCCUGUGACGAAGCGUGAGUGACGGUAAUGGGUAAAGAAGCACCGGCUAACUACGUG